rnacentral:rRNA from 1 species
CCUACGGGUGGCUGCAGUGAGGAAUAUUGGUCAAUGGACGAGAGUCUGAACCAGCCAAGUCGCGUGAAGGAUGACUGCCCUAUGGGUUGUAAACUUCUUUUAUAUGGGAAUAAAAUGUUCCACGUGUGGGAUUUUGUAUGUACCAUAUGAAUAAGGAUCGGCUAACUCUGUGCCAGCAGCCGCGGUAAUACGGAGGAUACGAGCGUUAUCCGGAUUUAUUGGGUUUAAAGGGAGCGUAGGUGGAUUGUUAAGUCAGUUGUGAAAGUUUGCGGCUCAACCGUAAAAUUGCAGUUGAUACUGGCAGUCUAGAGUACAGUAGAGGUGGGCGGAAGAUGUGGUGUAGCGGUGAAAUGCUUAGAUAUCACGAAGAACACCGAUUGCGAAGGCAGUUCACUGGACUGCAACUGACACUGAGGCACGAAAGUGUGGGUAUCAAACAGGAUUAGAUACCCGAGUAGUC